rnacentral:rRNA from 2 species
UCAAUUGUCUUAUAAUUGAAGACUGGAAUGAAUGGUUAAACGAAAUUGAAACUGUCUCAUUUUAUAUUAAUUAAAAAUUGGCUUUUAAAUGAAGAGAUUUAAAUUUAAUUAAUAGACAAGAAGACCCUAUUGAGCUUAAAAUAAUUUUAUGAAUGAUAAUUUAUUGUUGGAGAUUUAAGUUUUUAAUAUAUUUUUGGUUGGGGCGACUAAGGAACAAGUGAAGCUUCCUUUAUUUAUUAGAUUAAUAGGUUUUGAUCCAGUAUUAACUGAUUAAUAAAAAUAGUUACCAUAGGGAUAACAGCAUAAUCUUCUUGGAGAGUUCUUAUCAAAAAGAAGGGUUGUGACCUCGAUGUUGGAUUAAAAUAUCCUAAAGGUGUA